GGAGGAAAAGAAACCAACAGGGAUUGCCCCAGUAACGGCGAGUGAAGCGGCAACAGCUCAAAUUUGAAAUCUGGCCCCCCGGGGCCCGAGUUGUAAUUUGCAGAGGAUGCUUUUGGCGAGGCGCCUUCCGAGUUCCCUGGAACGGGACGCCACAGAGGGUGAGAGCCCCGUCUGGUUGGAUGCCGAGCCUCUGUAAAGCUCCUUCGACGAGUCGAGUAGUUUGGGAAUGCUGCUCUAAAUGGGAGGUAUAUGUCUUCUAAAGCUAAAUAUUGGCCAGAGACCGAUAGCGCACAAGUAGAGUGAUCGAAAGAUGAAAAGCACUUUGAAAAGAGGGUUAAAUAGUACGUGAAAUUGUUGAAAGGGAAGCGCUCAUGACCAGACUUGGGCCCGGUGAAUCAUCCAGCGUUCUCGCUGGUGCACUUUGCCGGGCUCAGGCCAGCAUCAGUUCGCCCCGGGGGAGAAAGGCUCUGGGAAUGUGGCUCCUCCGGGAGUGUUAUAGCCCUCUGCGCAAUGCCCUGGGGCGGACUGAGGUCCGCGC
rnacentral:rRNA from 1 species